UGGCGGAAUGCUUACACAUGCAAGUCGAACGGUAGGAGGGGGCAACCCUGAGAGUGGCGAACGGGUGAGUAAUAUAUCGGAACGUGCCCAGUCGUGGGGGAUAACGUAGCGAAAGCUACGCUAAUACCGCAUACUAUCUAUGGAUGAAAGCGGGGGAUCGCAAGACCUCGCGCGAUUGGAGCGGCCGAUAUCAGAUUAGGUAGUUGGUGAGGUAAAGGCUCACCAAGCCGACGAUCUGUAGCUGGUCUGAGAGGACGACCAGCCGCACUGGGACUGAGACACGGUCCAGACUCCUACGGGAGGCAGCAGUGGGGAAUUUUGGACAAUGGACGCAAGUCUGAUCCAGCAAUGCCGCGUGCAGGAUGAAGGCCUUCGGGUUGUAAACUGCUUUUGUACGGAACGAAACGGUGAGCUCUAAUACAGUUUGCUAAUGACGGUACCGUAAGAAUAAGCACCGGCUAACUACGUG
rnacentral:rRNA from 1 species